CUUGAAUCUGGUGCUAUUUUAUCUCCAGAGAUCAAAUAUAAAAUUUGGAUGCUUGUUACUUUGAGAUAAUCGGAUAAUUUUGUUCCAAGUAUUCCUGAUUUUGGCCUUACAGUUAUCUGCCAGAAUUCUGAUCACUUGACAAAGCAUUUCUACCACCCCAACUGGAUUUGAACCAGUAUUUGUGGAUGAUUAGUCAACAUGUUAGAUGGUGAAGUGA